GAUGAAGAACGUAGCGAAAUGCGAUAAGUAAUGCGAAUUGCAGAAUUCAGUGAAUCAUCGAAUCUUUGAACGCACCUUGCACCCUUUGGCAUUCUGAAGGGUAUGCUCGUUUGAGUGUCAUUGUACUCUCACACUCCCGAUCUUUGCAUUGGGAGCAGUGGACUUGGGUUUGCUGCUUCACCGUCGCUUACCUCAAAUAGGUUAGUGCAACUCUUGGUUGGACAUAGUACGGCGUGAUAAGUGUUCUUCGCCGGUGCCUCGCAAAGAGGGUGGCCGAUCGGGAUGUUGUGCUCCAAACCGUCUUCGGACAAUCUCUGACGACUUGACCUCAAAUCGAGUAAGACUACCCGCUGAACUUAAGCAUAUCAAUAAGCGGAGGA
rnacentral:misc_RNA from 1 species